AACGCUGGCGGCAGGCCUAACACAUGCAAGUCGAGCGGUAGAGAGAAGCUUGCUUCUCUUGAGAGCGGCGGACGGGUGAGUAAUGCCUAGGAAUCUGCCUGGUAGUGGGGGAUAACGUUCGGAAACGGACGCUAAUACCGCAUACGUCCUACGGGAGAAAGCAGGGGACCUUCGGGCCUUGCGCUAUCAGAUGAGCCUAGGUCGGAUUAGCUAGUUGGUGAGGUAAUGGCUCACCAAGGCGACGAUCCGUAACUGGUCUGAGAGGAUGAUCAGUCACACUGGAACUGAGACACGGUCCAGACUCCUACGGGAGGCAGCAGUGGGGAAUAUUGGACAAUGGGCGAAAGCCUGAUCCAGCCAUGCCGCGUGUGUGAAGAAGGUCUUCGGAUUGUAAAGCACUUUAAGUUGGGAGGAAGGGUUGUAGAUUAAUACUCUGCAAUUUUGACGUUACCGACAGAAUAAGCACCGGCUAACUCUGUGCCAGCAGCCGCGGUAAUACAGAGGGUGCAAGCGUUAAUCGGAAUUACUGGGCGUAAAGCGCGCGUAGGUGGUUUGUUAAGUUGGAUGUGAAAUCCCCGGGCUCAACCUGGGAACUGCAUUCAAAACUGACUGACUAGAGUAUGGUAGAGGGUGGUGGAAUUUCCUGUGUAGCGGUGAAAUGCGUAGAUAUAGGAAGGAACACCAGUGGCGAAGGCGACCACCUGGACUA
rnacentral:rRNA from 1 species